rnacentral:rRNA from 1 species
UACGGAGGGUGCAAGCGUUGUCCGGAAUUACUGGGCGUAAAGCGUGCGUAGGCGGUUCGUUAUGUCUGCUGUGAAAGCCCCCGGGCUUAACCUGGGAAUGGCAGUGGAAACUGGCGGGCUUGAGUGUGGCAGAGGGGGGUGGAAUUCCGCGUGUAGCAGUGAAAUGCGUUGAGUAGUAGUGCUCGGGAACGGAACCAGCCAGUAG